UUAGAAGAGAGAGGCAAUGAAAUCGAGUCUUUAUAUGGGCACUUGGAUUCGAUGGAGCCAGUAGUGCAACCGACUAUCUUUCUG
rnacentral:ncRNA from 2 species